UUAUAAUUUUUUUGCAUUAUUAUUGAUGCUGCCCUUUGCGUUCCAUGAAUGUACCCUAUAACCAUUUGAACCACAAAAACUUGGACUACAAUGUAGUUAUUGUUUUAAUGAAACGGUUCAAAUCCAUAACCGAAGGUCCAUCUUCAGCAACACUUUGACCCCCCAACUCGGCCAACAUCCUUGUUGAUUCAAUAAACUCAGUUUUUCUCACAUCUAUAACAUCUCUCACUGCCUUCUCGACUAUACCUCGAUCGCAUGUAUCUUUUAUGUCAAUACCAACCUUCCACACCUCGCUCACAAACCGACUAUUAACUUGUUGAUCCACAUUUUGUGGCCAACAAAUCAUUGGGACUCCCUCAAUUAUACUCUCGAUCGUCGAGUUCCAUCCGCUGUGUGUUAAAAACCCUCCAAUUGCUGAAUGAGCAAGAACCGCUUCCUGUGGAACCCAUGUUGUGAUGAAUCCCCGUUGUUUAGUUUCAUCGAUGAGACGUUUUGGAACUAGAUUAUGAUCAUACUCUCCAAUAACAGAACCGGGCCGUUGAACCCACAAGAAAGGCUUUCCACUAUUCACCAGCCCAUGCCAAAACUCAAACAACUGCUCCACCGUCAUCAUUGCCAUGCUACCAAUGCUAACAUAAACGACCGAUCUUGUUACUUGGGUGUCAAGCCAGGAGAGACAAGUGGCGUUUUCUUCCCAUAAACUGUUUGAAACACUAGAUUGGGUCGUAACUAGAGACUUGUACAAAGUGUGUAUCGGGCCUAUGCAAUAAAUGUCCGGGCAAAGUUUUCUCAUGUGAACUAAUACCGUUUCAUCUAGGGCUUGAAAUGUGUUGAGAAUGAGGCCGUGAGCUCGAGGAACACAUCGAGCUUCCUUCAUUAUGAUCUUUGUAACGAGAUUAUCUACAUCAUCAAGGCGACAAAAGCUUGGAAGAUCACGGCGUCGUAGAAAGGUUUCUGUUCCCGGAACGUUUUUAAUCAGGACAUUCAAGUCUUAGCUAACCGUUAAACGGAACUUCACCGGCUCCGAUUAGCUUAGGGAGGCAGAGAUAGGUCCAAAGUGCAGACGGACUGACAGUCUCAAAAUAAAACAGGGGUAUCCCAACCUCUUCAGCCACAUCAAGCGCAAACGAAAAGGAGGCGUCGGGUAUAAUAAUCGUGACAGGAGGAUCAGACUUGAAACUAAAGCAUCCAGAAACCAUCAUCUCUCUAAAAACCGGCUCCGUGACGGUUUUCAUUCCGUCAAAAAGGUCGAGAAACCGCUGGCCCGAGCGAGGAUGAUCUUCCGGGAGUCCGUCUGAGAUAGUCUUGAAACGGAGAUUAUCGUAGCUGCUGAAUCGUGUUAACACGUUAGAGUGACGGAUGAGAGUGCGGUGGAUGUAAUCGGUGUUGAGGACGGUGACGGUGAUGCCGGAGAUGCAGAGUAGCUCUGCUAGUUUGAGCAUGCAGUUCACCGGACCUUGCAUUGGUAGAGGGAAGAGUAGGACGUGUGG
rnacentral:lncRNA from 1 species